UGUACAAGGUUUCGUAGGUGAACCUGCGGAAGGAUCAUUGUCGAGACCCCGAAAAGGAAGACCGCGAACACGUGAACGGAAUCUCCCCGGACGGGGGGCGCGAGCCCCCCGCCCGGACCCCCUUCCGGCGGGCCCCCGCGGCCGGCCGGGCGGGGAGGAACGGACGAACCCCGGCGCGGCGAGCGCCAAGGAACAGACGACGGAACACGGCCCGCCCCCGGGCGGCGCCACGCUCCAACACUCACCACGACGACUCUCGGCAACGGAUAUCUUGGCUCUCGCAUCGAUGAAGAACGUAGCGAAAUGCGAUACUUGGUGUGAAUUGCAGAAUCCCGUGAACCAUCGAGUCUUUGAACGCAAGUUGCGCCCGAGGCCAUCCGGCCGAGGGCACGCCUGCCUGGGCGUCACGCCUCGCGUCGCUCCGCGCGCCCCCGGACCCGAAACAGGGCUGGGGCGCGGCGGACGCGGAGAUUGGCCCGCCGGGCGACCAUGCGCGCGGCGGGCCGAAGAACACGGGACGCCGGCGGGGCCGAAGCUGGCGAGUGGUGGACGGGACGCGCCCAGCGCGCGAACGAUGCCGGACGCCGCCGAAGCCCCUGCCGGGAUAGGGCCCGGAGAAGGACCCCGUACGGGCGCGCGCAAGCGCGCCUCGCAACGCGACCCCAGGUCAGGCGGGAACACCCGCUGAGUUUAAGCAUAUCAUAA
rnacentral:rRNA from 1 species